rnacentral:rRNA from 1 species
UAAGGUACGGAGCCGAAGGGAAACCGAGUCUGAAUAGGGCGACUAGUUGCAUGCCGUAGACCCGAAACCGGGUGACCUAUCCAUGGCCAGGUUGAAGCGAGGGUAAAACCUCGUGGAGGACCGAACCACGUUGCUGUUGAAAAAGCAUGGGAUGAGCUGUGGAUAGCGGAGAAAUUCCAAUCGAACCCGGAGAUAGCUGGUUCUCUCCGAAAUAGCUUUAGGGCUAGCGUCGAGUAUGAGUAGUGGAGGUAGAAGCACUGAAUGGGCUAGGGGGCAUAGCGCUUACCGAACCUUAUCAAACUCCGAAUGCCACAUACUUUGAGCUCGGCAGUCAGACUACGAAUGAUAAGAAUCCGUGGUCAAAAGGGAAACAGCCCAGAUCGUCAGCUAAGGUCCCAAAGUGUAAGUUAAGUGGGAAAGGAUGUGAGAUUUCUAAGACAACUAGGAUGUUGGCUUAGAAGCAGCCAUUCAUUAAAAGAGUGCGUAAUAGCUCACUAGUCGAGAGAUCUUGCGCCGAAAAUGUAACGGGGCUAAACUUACCACCGAAGCUACGGGCUUGAACUUAGUUCAAGCGGUAGGAGAGCGUCGUAACCGGGCUGAAGUCGUACCGUAAGGAGCGGUGGACUGGUUACGAGUGAGAAUGUUGGCAUCAGUAGCGAGAUGUGGGUGAGAAUCCCACAGGCCGAAAACCUAAGGUUUCCUCAGGAAGGUUCGUCCGCUGAGGGUUAGUCGGGACCUAAGCGAGGCCGAAAGGCGUAGGUGAUGGACAACUGGUUGAUAUUCCAGUACCACUACCAUCGUUAUUAUCGAUGGCGUGACGCAGGAGGAUAGUGUGUGCUAGCUAUUGGAUGCUAGUCUAAGCGUUUAGGCAGUGAGAGUAGGCAAAUCCGCUCUCAUAAUGCUGAGGCGUGAUGGGGAAGGUUCCACGGAACCGAAGUACAUGAUUCCACGCUGCCAAGAAAAGCGUCUAGAGAGAGAAGUAGUGCCCGUACCGCAAACCGACACAGGUAGGUGAGGAGAGAAUCCUAAGGCCGGCGGAAGAAUUACAGUUAAGGAACUCGGCAAAUUGACCCCGUAAGUUCGCGAGAAGGGGUGCCUACGAGAGUAGGCCGCAGAGAAUAGGCCCAAGCAACUGUUUAGCAAAAACACAGGUCUCUGCUAAAGCGUAAGCUGAUGUAUAGGGGCUGACGCCUGCCCGGUGCUGGAAGGUUAAGGGGAACACUUAGCGCAAGCGAAGGUGUGAACUUAAGCCCCAGUAAACGGCGGCCGUAACUAUAACGUCCUAAGGUAGCGAAAUUCCUUGUCAGGUAAGUUCUGACCCGCACGAAUGGCGUAAUGACUUGGGCACUGUCUCAACUGUAAAUCCGGCGAAGUUGUAGUGCGAGUGAAGAUGCUCGCUACCCGCGAUUGGACGGAAAGACCCCGUAGAGCUUUACUGUAGCUUAGCAUUGAGUUUUGGUAUUGUCUGUACAGGAUAGGUGGGAGACUAGGAAACCAGGGCGUCAGCCUUGGUGGAGUCAACCUUGGGAUACCACCCUGACAGUACUGAAAUUCUAACUGGCGGCCAUGAAUCUGGUCACAGGACAUUGUUAGGUGGGCAGUUUGACUGGGGCGGUCGCCUCCUAAAAAGUAACGGAGGCGCCCAAAGGUUCCCUCAGAACGGUCGGAAAUCGUUCGAAGAGUGCAAAGGCAGAAGGGAGCCUGACUGCGACACCCACAAGUGGAGCAGGGACGAAAGUCGGGCUUAGUGAUCCGGUGGUACCUCGUGGGAGGGCCAUCGCUCAACGGAUAAAAGCUACCUCGGGGAUAACAGGCUGAUCUCCCCCAAGAGUCCACAUCGACGGGGAGGUUUGGCACCUCGAUGUCGGCUCGUCGCAUCCUGGGGCUGAAGUAGGUCCCAAGGGUUGGGCUGUUCGCCCAUUAAAGCGGCACGCGAGCUGGGUUCAGAACGUCGUGAGACAGUUCGGUCCCUAUCCGUCGCGGGCGUAGGAAAUUUGAGAGGAGCUGUCCUUAGUACGAGAGGACCGGGAUGGACUGACCUCUGGUGUACCAGUUGUUCCGCCAGGAGCACAGCUGGGUAGCUAAGUCGGGAAUGGAUAAACGCUGAAAGCAUCUAAGCGUGAAGCCAACCUCAAGAUGAGAUUUCCCAUAGCGUAAGCUAGUAAGAUCCCUUGAAGAACACAAGGUUGAUAGGUCGGGGGUGUAAGCAUGGUAACAUGUUCAGCUGACCGAUACUAAUAGAUCGAGGGCUUGACCAA